GUGGGGAAUUUUGGACAAUGGGGGCAACCCUGAUCCAGCCAUGCCGCGUGCGGGAAGAAGGCCUUCGGGUUGUAAACCGCUUUUGUCAGGGAAGAAAUCCUUUGGGUUAAUACCUCGGAGGGAUGACGGUACCUGAAGAAUAAGCACCGGCUAACUACGUGCCAGCAGCCGCGGUAAUACGUAGGGUGCGAGCGUUAAUCGGAAUCACUGGGCGUAAAGCGCGCGUAGGCGGUCCAUUAAGUGUGCGGUGAAAUUCGGAGGCUCAACCUCCGUCCCGCCGCGCAAACUGAUGGUCUUGAGAUUGGGAGGGGGAUGCGGAAUUCCUGGUGUAGCGGUGAAAUGCAUUGAUAUCAGGAGGAACACCGGCGGCGAAAGCGGCAUCCUGGCUUAUAUCUGACGCUGAGGCGCGAAAGCGUGGGUAGCAAACGGGAUUAGAUACCCCUGUAGUCC
rnacentral:rRNA from 1 species